rnacentral:misc_RNA from 1 species
UCGAUGUAUGUUUAUUGUCGGAUGAUUUGGUUGCGUGAUUUACACUAGACAUACAUCGACUUAUAUGGCGCUUAUCGAUAUAUGGCUUGUGUGGGGCGAGAGGCACAACGUGGAACUGUAAAAGGAUCUGCAAGGGUUUCCCAAACCACACAAGCCAUACAUCGGUUGUAAGUCGGAUCGCUUAUCGAUGUAUGGCUUGUGUGGGGCGUGAGGCACAACGUGGAACCGUAAAAGGAUCUGCAAGGGUUUCCCAAACCACACAAGCCAUACAUCGGUUGUAAGUCGGAUGUCGCUUAUCGAUGUAUGGCUUGUGUGGGGCGAAAAACACAACGUAGAACUGUAAAAGGAUCUGCAAGGGUUUCCCAAACCACACAAGCCAUGCAUCGGUUGUAAGUCGCAAAACAACCACAAUUGUUGUAUUGCUUGGAUGUGUGCGAGAGGCACAACGUGAAUCCGUAAUAGGCCAUGGCGGGUGUCUUUUUAAGCAUCCAAACCAUACAACAAUUGGGGGGAUUAUUCUAGCGGGUUUCAUUCUCUUCGUAUCGUGC